rnacentral:lncRNA from 1 species
AUCAACACUUGUUUUAGGAAACUUACAGUUUAAACAGAUCAGAUUUUUUAAAUAAAAUUUGGUCUGCAUUUGCAUUGGCAUUUAUAGAUGUUCUUUUGUGUCUUGUGAUAUGAAGAUGUGCAUAUCAGAAAUACUGUAAGGCAUUAUUGGGAUCCAACUACUGUGGAUUUUGUUUAUUUUCGAGGCUACCAAUACGUGCAAUUUUCCUUGAUUAGAUAGACAAGCUUGUAAAAAAUUGUAUUUUAUUGGACAUUUGAAAUCUCGAUAUACCUAUCC